rnacentral:rRNA from 1 species
ACAGUCGAACGGCAGCAUGAUCUAGCUUGCUAGAUUGAUGGCGAGUGGCGAACGGGUGAGUAAUACAUCGGAACGUGCCCUGUAGUGGGGGAUAACUAGUCGAAAGAUUAGCUAAUACCGCAUACGACCUGAGGGUGAAAGUGGGGGACCGCAAGGCCUCAUGCUAUAGGAGCGGCCGAUGUCUGAUUAGCUAGUUGGUGGGGUAAAGGCCCACCAAGGCGACGAUCAGUAGCUGGUCUGAGAGGACGAUCAGCCACACUGGGACUGAGACACGGCCCAGACUCCUACGGGAGGCAGCAGUGGGGAAUUUUGGACAAUGGGCGAAAGCCUGAUCCAGCAAUGCCGCGUGUGUGAAGAAGGCCUUCGGGUUGUAAAGCACUUUUGUCCGGAAAGAAAUGGCUCUGGUUAAUACCUGGGGUCGAUGACGGUACCGGAAGAAUAAGGACCGGCUAACUACGUGCCAGCAGCCGCGGUAAUACGUAGGGUCCAAGCGUUAAUCGGAAUUACUGGGCGUAAAGCGUGCGCAGGCGGUUGUGCAAGACCGAUGUGAAAUCCCCGAGCUUAACUUGGGAAUUGCAUUGGUGACUGCACGGCUAGAGUGUGUCAGAGGGGGGUAGAAUUCCACGUGUAGCAGUGAAAUGCGUAGAGAUGUGGAGGAAUACCGAUGGCGAAGGCAGCCCCCUGGGAUAACACUGACGCUCAUGCACGAAAGCGUGGGGAGCAAACAGGAUUAGAUACCCUGGUAGUCCACGCCCUAAACGAUGUCAACUAGUUGUUGGGGAUUCAUUUCCUUAGUAACGUAGCUAACGCGUGAAGUUGACCGCCUGGGGAGUACGGUCGCAAGAUUAAAACUCAAAGGAAUUGACGGGGACCCGCACAAGCGGUGGAUGAUGUGGAUUAAUUCGAUGCAACGCGAAAAACCUUACCUACCCUUGACAUGCCACUAACGAAGCAGAGAUGCAUUAGGUGCUCGAAAGAGAAUCAGGACACAGGUGCUGCAUGGCUGUCGUCAGCUCGUGUCCUGAGAUGUUGGGUUAAGUCCCGCAACGAGCGCAACCCUUGUCUCUAGUUGCUACGAAAGGGCACUCUAGAGAGACUGCCGGUGACAAACCGGAGGAAGGUGGGGAUGACGUCAAGUCCUCAUGGCCCUUAUGGGUAGGGCUUCACACGUCAUACAAUGGUGCAUACAGAGGGUUGCCAAGCCGCGAGGUGGAGCUAAUCCCAGAAAAUGCAUCGUAGUCCGGAUCGUAGUCUGCAACUCGACUACGUGAAGCUGGAAUCGCUAGUAAUCGCGGAUCAGCAUGCCGCGGUGAAUACGUUCCCGGGUCUUGUACACACCGCCCGUCACACCAUGGGAGUGGGCUUUACCAGAAGUAGUUAGCCUAACCGCAAGGAGGGCGUA